rnacentral:rRNA from 1 species
UACGUAGGGACCAAGCGUUGUUCGGAUUUACUGGGCGUAAAGGGCGCGUAGGCGGCAAUUCAAGUCAGCUGUGAAAUCUCCGGGCUUAACUCGGAACGGUCAGAUGAUACUGCUUUGCUAGAGUGCAGAAGGGGCAAUCGGAAUUCUUGGUGUAGCGGUGAAAUGCGUAGAUAUCAAGAGGAACACCUGAGGUGAAGACGGGUUGCUGGGCUGACACUGACGCUGAGGCGCGAAAGCCAGGGGAGCAAACGGG